rnacentral:rRNA from 1 species
GACGAACGCUGGCGGCGUGCUUAACACAUGCAAGUCGAACGGAAAGGCCCUGCUUUUGUGGGGUGCUCGAGUGGCGAACGGGUGAGUAACACGUGAGUAACCUGCCCUUGACUUUGGGAUAACUUCAGGAAACUGGGGCUAAUACCGGAUAGGAGCUCCUGCUGCAUGGUGGGGGUUGGAAAGUUUCGGCGGUUGGGGAUGGACUCGCGGCUUAUCAGCUUGUUGGUGGGGUAGUGGCUUACCAAGGCUUUGACGGGUAGCCGGCCUGAGAGGGUGACCGGCCACAUUGGGACUGAGAUACGGCCCAGACUCCUACGGGAGGCAGCAGUGGGGAAUAUUGCACAAUGGGCGGAAGCCUGAUACAGCAACGCCGCGUGCGGGAUGACGGCCUUCGGGUUGUAAACCGCUUUCGCCUGUGACGACGCGUGAGUGACGGUAAUGGGUAAAGAAGCACCGGCUAACUACGUG